rnacentral:rRNA from 1 species
AUUGAACGCUGGCGGCAGGCCUAACACAUGCAAGUCGAGCGGAUGAAGGGAGCUUGCUCCUGGAUUCAGCGGCGGACGGGUGAGUAAUGCCUAGGAAUCUGCCUGGUAGUGGGGGAUAACGUCCGGAAACGGGCGCUAAUACCGCAUACGUCCUGAGGGAGAAAGUGGGGGAUCUUCGGACCUCACGCUAUCAGAUGAGCCUAGGUCGGAUUAGCUAGUUGGUGGGGUAAAGGCCUACCAAGGCGACGAUCCGUAACUGGUCUGAGAGGAUGAUCAGUCACACUGGAACGGAAACACGGUCCAGACUCCUACGGGAGGCAACGGAGGGGAGUGUAAGACUAUGGACGGAAGCCUGAUCCGACCAUGCCGCGUGGGGUGAAGAGGGCUUGUGAUAGGAAAGCUCUUUAAGUUGGGAGGAAGGGCAGUAAGUGAAUACCUUGCUUUUUUGACGUUACCAACAGAAUAAGCACCGGCUAACUUCGUG